CCCAGGGACAGCAGGUCUAUAAAGUAGUGAGGCUGUGAGAGUUACUCUGGACUGAGGAGGUCACAAAGGAUCUGAUUACGUGGAGUCCUACUAGAAUGAUACACUUCCAUAUGUCCAUUUGGAUUGGCUGCUCGGGAAGGAUGACCUGACUAAAGCUGGAAGUAAUUUCAAAGAACUGAGGUCCCGUGCUUCCUGGGUGAGUGCACAAGUUUACUGGACAAAAGAAUGAAAACCAGUUGCCAAAAUACAACUUUGAACUCAGCAAACAGUGAUCAAGUCAGACCAGAGAAUAAAGAAUGCAUUGGUACCACCACCAGCAAUGAAUACAUACAUAUAGGUCUCACCAUAAUAGAAACUCUUCCUUUGCGUAAGCUUGUCACCUGUUUCCCCUAUAUUUUCAGGAGUAUGCUCCAUUUUCCAGGUUCCUAUGACACAGCCCUGAUCUGUGGAUGCUUCUGGACUGUUUCCAUGAGACCUUUCCUUUUAGUUUUGCCUCAUAACUAAUUAUUUUUCUGAUUUUCCACACACCACCUACCAAAGACUUCAAAGCUAAACUGUGCCAGUUUUCAGCUGCUAGAGUGUCAGUAUUUCUGCUCCACAGCACAUUGGGACCAAGACAGGGGUGUCAAAC